AUUGAACGCUGGCGGAAUGCUUUACACAUACAAGUCGAACGGCAGCACGGACUUCGGUCUGGUGGCGAGUGGCGAACGGGUGAGUAAUACAUCGGAACGUGCCCAGUCGUGGGGGAUAACGUAGCGAAAGCUACGCUAAUACCGCAUACGAUCUAAGGAUGAAAGCGGGGGAUCGCAAGACCUCGCGCGACUGGAGCGGCCGAUGGCAGAUUAGGUAGUUGGUGGGGUAAAGGCUCACCAAGCCGACGAUCUGUAGCUGGUCUGAGAGGACGACCAGCCACACUGGGACUGAGACACGGCCCAGACUCCUACGGGAGGCAGCAGUGGGGAAUUUUGGACAAUGGGCGAAAGCCUGAUCCAGCCAUUCCGCGUGCAGGAUGAAGGCCCUCGGGUUGUAAACUGCUUUUGUACGGAACGAAAAGGCUCUGGUUAAUACCUGGGGCUCAUGACGGUACCGUAAGAAUAAGCACCGGCUAACUACGUGCCAGCCGCCGCGGUAAGAC
rnacentral:rRNA from 1 species